AUAUGUUCUCAAUCCUCUUCUAAGGUUCCAUCUUAGACGGUACAUAUGUCUGUGGUGGUUUAUUCAAUUGUCUCUUAAGAUGGUAUAUGUCUGGCUCAUGACCCGUAUUCAAUCUGAGAUGAGAAUAUUUAUGCUCACUUAUAUGGCCUGAUGCAUAUUAACCUUAUAUACAUGUAAAACUCGUGAUGUCCCGAACCUUUGUAGGUAAUGGCCUUUGCGGCCGAGCCGUUUAUAGCAUGGUCAUAGACCAUAGUAGUACACAAAUUUGUAGUAUUGAUCAUGUGUGAUCAUGGAUCACGAGUUUAUCCUCUCUCCCCCUCAUGAACAUACUAUAAUUUCGUGAUGCUUAUGACAAUAAAGCCUCAUGAGUUUCCCUUGUGUACAUGUUACACAACGUGAGAUCUUAUGGGAUAACUCUGUGU
rnacentral:lncRNA from 1 species